AUAUCUGAUUUCACUUGGACCAAUUAUCAAUUCCAGCUAUUCUGAUUAAUAAUCCAAAUUUAAUUAUUAAUGUAAGGAUAAAUAAUCCUAAAUUAUUUAAUAAUCUCUCUCGAGUCUUAUUAAAUAUACUAAUUAAAAUCUAUAAUCUAUCUUCCAAUAGUAAAAUAGAUUUUAAUUAGUUCAAUAAGCACAGUGAUUAUUUCCAAGAUCCAACAGGUCAAAUCUUCUGCUUCCGCUCCAAUUAUUAUUCCUAUGAUGUUUGUUAUUAACUCCAAUUUAUAAUCUUCCUUCCCAGUACCAAUUAUAAAUCGAAAUCAAUCAAGUACCAAAGAUAAUAAUACUUAAAAGCAUUAAGUGCAAAUAACAAACAAUUGCAUUAACAAAGAAAAUUAAUACAAGAUUCUAAAAUUGAAAUUAAAUCCAAGCUAUAUCAGGUACCCUAGCUAGAAAUUUAGCUUUUCAUCAUAUCAAAAUCAAACUCAAGUUUACUUGAAUAAAACUCUAAAAUCAUCCUAACAAUGAGUUCUAGAAAAUAAAUUCAAAGUAAAUAAGAGAAAGAAUUAAAACUCUGAAGGAAUUGCAGAGCUGAAUGAAUCCUCUCUUCAAAUCUUCCAGAUACUCCGAACUCUCCUUGCUUGAUUUUUAGCUUUCAAAGAUGAUUCUCCUCCUCCUGUUGCUGGUGUUUUAGGAUCCUUAAAUAGGACUAGGGCUAGGGUUAAGGUGGUAUUUUUCUCAUGAUUUUAUUCUAUAUAUCAUUCUUUCUAUUUGAUAUAGAAUCUCUCCUCCUUUGGAUAGGCUUUAAGCAACCACCAACCAUCUACUCCUUAUGCUGCCCAAAUUUUCUGAUUUUAUUCUGAUUUCCAUAGUAAAAGAAGGAAAAGAGGUAUGGUUAAUUAGAGGAGAAGAAUUUCUUCCUUCCUGGAUCCACAAAAUCUGCAAAAUAAAGUAAGGUUUUGGCUGCCCAAAUCAAGUUUUCCAAGAAUUGGUUCCAAUUCUUUCUAAGUUUGCUCCUCAUGCAGAAUUAGUUUGGACUCUGAUUUUCUUUCAUUUAAUUCUUUCCAAGAUAGCUCUUUGCCACCCAAAAUUGGUUGCCAUAUCAGAUCUUUGUGCCAAAAAACACUAAGAAGAAUCUGGGUGUAUCGGGUGUUUCUUGUUGUGUCCAACAUUGUUACCAACUUCAACCUACUGUAGCCACCUCAUCUGGAAUCUAAAUUCAAUUCUGUAAAUUAUGUUCCUUUCUUACUUCUCUCAAAAUUUUGUAGGAUCUAAUCUUGCUCAAUUUGGAGUCCUGUAGCUUGCCUUUUAGGGUCCUCACACUAAAAUAUCCAGAAUUUAGAUUGGUUGACU
rnacentral:lncRNA from 1 species